UACGAGGGGGGGCGAGCGUUGUUCGGAAUUAUUGGGCGUAAAGGGUGCGUAGGCGGUUUGGUAAGUCUUAUGUGAAAUCUAUGGGCUCAACUCAUAGACUGCAUGAGAAACUGCCGGGCUUGAGUAUGGGAGAGGUGAGUGGAAUUCCUGGUGUAGCGGUGAAAAUGCGUAGAGAUGUGGAGGAACACCAAUGGCGAAGGCAGCCUUCUGGGCCAACACUGACGCUCAUGCACGAAAGCGUGGGGAGCAAACAGG
rnacentral:rRNA from 1 species